GCUCUCCCACAGCAACCCGGGGACAGCUUCCUUGUUCAGAGUCUGCACCCGCUCUGGAUUUCAAUCAGCUAGGUCCACGGAAGAGCAGUCCCUGGGGACCCCCAGGCAGAGACACCCCCCUUGAUGAAGAAACUGAGACAGAGUUGUUAAACAAUUUAUAUGCCAGGCUCUGGACCAUGUGCUUUUCAAAUCUUACCUUAUUUGAUCCUCACAAAAGCCCUGGGAGGCUCUCUACUUCUGGCUGCACAGGACUCCCAGAGGCCCCCCAAAUUUGUGUGUGCCAGAAAGAAGGAAGGACAGCUAUCUACCUGGGACCCAGAGGUCCCACGGAGUCUCUGCUCAUGUAAAGGAUCGUCUCUUUCCUGUCUCCUCUCACAUCUGUAAGAACUCCACAGCGUCUGUGGGCUGAUGGAGAAUCUCAGAGCAGUUUUGGCUUCUCUUCUUUUCCAGAUUUAGCACCAGGCCUGGGCAUAUAAUAAGUGCCUAAUAAAUAAUCUCAUUUUCCUCUUCA
rnacentral:lncRNA from 1 species